UACAGAGGUCUCGAGCGUUGUUCGGAUUUAUUGGGCGUAAAGGGUGCGUAGGCGGCGCGGUAAGUCGGGUGUGAAAUCUCGGAGCUUAACUCCGAAACUGCAUUCGAUACUGCCGUGCUUGAGGACUGGAGAGGAGACUGGAAUUUACGGUGUAGCGGUGAAAUGCGUAGAUAUCGUAAGGAAGACCAGUGGCGAAGGCGGGUCUCUGGACAGUUCCUGACGCUGAGGCACGAAGGUCAGGGGAGCAAACGGG
rnacentral:rRNA from 1 species